rnacentral:rRNA from 1 species
GCUUAGGGGGAAGCUUAAAAUGCAGUCGAACGGGCUUUGGGGCUUGCUCCAAAGUUAGUGGCGAACGGGUGAGUAACAUAUCGGAACAUGUCCGGAAGUGGGGGAUAACGUAGCGAAAGUUACGCUAAUACCGCAUAUGCCCCGAGGGGGAAAGGGGGGGAUCGCAAGACCUCUCGCUUUCGGAGUGGCCGAUAUCGGAUCAGCUAGAUGGUGAGGUAAAGGCUCACCAUGGCGACGAUCCGUAGCUGGUCUGAGAGGACGACCAGCCACACUGGAACUGAGACACGGUCCAGACUCCUACGGGAGGCAGCAGUGGGGAAUUUUGGACAAUGGGCGCAAGCCUGAUCCAGCCAUACCGCGUGAGUGAAGAAGGCCUUCGGGUUGUAAAGCUCUUUCAGCCGGAAAGAAAUCGUGCAGGUUAAUAACCUGUAUGGAUGACGGUACCGGAAGAAGAAGCACCGGCUAACUACGUGCCAGCAGCCGCGGUAAUACGUAGGGUGCGAGCGUUAAUCGGAAUUACUGGGCGUAAAGCGUGCGCAGGCGGUUUUGUAAGACAGACGUGAAAUCCCCGGGCUUAACCUGGGAACUGCGUUUGUGACUGCAAGGCUAGAGUGCGGCAGAGGGGGGUAGAAUUCCACGUGUAGCAGUGAAAUGCGUAGAUAUGUGGAGGAAUACCGAUGGCGAAGGCAGCCCCCUGGGUCGACACUGACGCUCAUGCACGAAAGCGUGGGGAGCAAACAGGAUUAGAUACCCUGGUAGUCCACGCCCUAAACGAUGUCAACUAGGUGUUGGGGAAGGAGACUUCUUUAGUACCGCAGCUAACGCGAUAAGUUGACCGCCUGGGGAGUACGGUCGCAAGAUUAAAACUCAAAGGAAUUGACGG